GCUCCACACCGACUUAGAGGAGCCUGUCCUAUAAUCGAUACCCCACGCUAAACCUCACCAAUNUUUGCCAAAUCAGCCUAUAUACCGCCGUCGAC
rnacentral:rRNA from 1 species